rnacentral:rRNA from 1 species
AGCGAAAAGAAAACAGUUCAGCACUAAGUCAGUUUGUCUUUAUGGCAAAUCUGAGAUGCAGUGUAUGGAACAUUUUCAAUCUAAUAUGAGAAAUUAAUGAUUUAAGUCCUUCUUAAAUGAGGCCAAUUACCCAUAGAGGGUGCCAGGCCCGUAUAACAUUAAUGAUUAUUAGAGGAUGAUUCCGAAGAGUCGUGUUGCUUGAUAGUGCAGCACUAAGUUGGUGGUAAACUCCAUCUAAAACUAAAUAUAACCAUGAGACCGAUAGUAAACAAGUACCGUGAGGGAAAGUUGAAAAGAACUCUGAAUAGAGAGUUAAAUAGUACGUGAAACUGCUUAGAGGUUAAGCCCGAUGAACCUGAAUAUCCAUUAUGGAAAAUUCAUCAUUAGAAUUUGUGAUAUAUAUAUAUAUAUUUAACAAUGAUAAUGUGCAUUUUUUCCAUAUAAAGGACAUUGUAAUCUAUUAAUAUAAAAAUAUUUAUCAAAAAAUCAUAAAUUUUAAAGUUUAUUUAAAUUAUUAUGCUAUUACGCAUUUUAACAUAAAAUAAAUUAUUUAUGAUUUGAUAAAGUAUUGAUAGAUUUAUCAUAUAUACAGUGCUUUAAUUUUAUUAAUAAAAUUAUAUAAAUGAUAUCAUGUAUAAUCAUGUUUAAUUUAUAUGCACUUGUAUGAUUAACAAUGCGAAAGAUUCAGGAUACCCUCGGGACCCGUCUUGAAACACGGACCAAGGAGUCUAACAUAUAUGCAAGUCAUUGAGAAUAAUAUAAACUUAAUGGCAUAAUUAACUUAACUGAAUUAUAUAUUUUAUAUAUAAUGGGAUUAGUUUUUAAAUUAUUUAUAAUUUUAUUAACACAAUCCCGGGGCGUUCUAUAUAGUUAUGUAUAAUAAUAUUUAUUUAUUAUUUAU